UACGGAGGAUGCGAGCGUUAUCCGGAUUUAUUGGGUUUAAAGGGUGCGUAGGCGGAAUAUCAAGUCAGCGGUCAAAUCGUGGGGCUCAACCCCAUCCAGCCGUUGAAACUGGGGAUCUAGAGUGUGCGAGAGGUAUGCGGAAUGCGUGGUGUAGCGGUGAAAUGCAUAGAUAUCACGCAGAACCCCGAUUGCGAAGGCAGCAUACCGGCGCCCGACUGACGCUGAGGCACGAAAGCGUGGGGAGCAAAUAGG
rnacentral:rRNA from 1 species